rnacentral:lncRNA from 1 species
CUCAUAGCAGGUCCUUGUCACAAAGUGCCUUACAGCCUGCCUGCUCCUAAUCUUCACACACCCCAGACAUGAGCAAAGGGGGAACAGGUCAUGCCCAAUUUAUAACUGGGUACUGUGAGGCUGGGAGGGAGGCAAGACCCUGGAGCCUGGAGACAGAGUCAGAACUAGAAACCAAGCCUCCCCAUUACAUUUCCUUCUCUCUGUGCCCCUGUGCCCACCCUAGGUCUGAGGAGGAGGUGAGCUCUGGGCGGUGGUGGCUAAUCACCCCCCACAUACUCUUCACCUUGCCCCUCCUGGAUGGGAGUCUGAACCUUCAGGCCUUGCGUGUGCCCCAAACAGCAGGCCCAGUCUGGGGCUGCAGGGAAGGAGGGAGACAUUGAAGACUCUUAAAGUGGCUGGAACCAGCCCUGAACCUGGUCCAGUCCCACCCCUACCCGCUCCUGCUGGCAUCUGACAACCUGUCUGCCAGGAGUUCCUCAACUUUGGGCAACCUCCAGCCCAGGAGCGGAAUGAACAGGGCCAGGGCCAGGGCCAGGAUUCAAGGAUGCACCUCUACCUGCGAUAGACAGCCAGAGGGCCUCCCUUCCUUGCCCUCCUCUCCCCAACUGCUCUCCAGGGCCCGCAGGAGCUCAUGGGGUGACACUAACCCUUACCCCAAAGGGCAGUCUCACUGGGUAGAAUCUUCAACUCCCCAGGGCAGGGAGGAGAGUGGGAAGGACUUGGUGUUGAGGCUAGGAGCCCAGAUCUAGGGCUGCUAAAUUCUAGCUCAGAUAUGGGCCUCUGGGGAGUGGGUGUCAUGGGCAGAGAAGGGUGAAGUCUGUCCAGCCUGUAACUGGCCUGCUGGUUUGGGCAACAGGCCAGGACUGGGGGAGAGGGAAGGGAGAAUUCACUUUUAAAGGGCCAGCCUUAUUCUUACCUAGGGGGUCGUUGGCGCACUUGGCUGGUUCUGCCUUCCCCCUUGCCCCCACACAUGAUGGCACCCUCCACUCCCAUCCCCCUUCCCCGCACCACUCACACACUCCGCCUCAUUCUGCCUCCUUCUCUGCCCCCCACCGCACACACACACACACACACACACACACACACACAC